UGGGGAAUAUUGGACAAUGGGCGAAAGCCUGAUCCAGCCAUGCCGCGUGUGUGAAGAAGGUCUUCGGAUUGUAAAGCACUUUAAGUUGGGAGGAAGGGCAGUAAGCGAAUACCUUGCUGUUUUGACGUUACCGACCGAAUAAGCACCGGCUAACUCUGUGCCAGCAGCCGCGGUAAUACAGAGGGUGCAAGCGUUAAUCGGAAUUACUGGGCGUAAAGCGUGCGUAGGUGGUUCGUUAAGUUGAAUGUGAAAGCCCCGGGCUCAACCUGGGAACUGCAUCCAAAACUGGCGAGCUAGAGUAGGGCAGAGGGUGGUGGAAUUUCCUGUGUAGCGGUGAAAUGCGUAGAUAUAGGAAGGAACACCAGUGGCGAAGGCGACCACCUGGGCUCAUACUGACACUGAGGUGCGAAAGCGUGGGGAGCAAACAGG
rnacentral:rRNA from 1 species